AAAACUCUCAGCGUUUCUAGGGCAUCAGCCUGAUGGAGGGGUGUCGGAAGUUGUGACGUGGGGACAGUGGCGCCCACUGUGUCCUGCCUCGUCUGAGCUCUUACGUUCAUUUCAUCUCCCUGAUGCCAGGUUGUAACUGGAGCUCCCGGAGGUCCACGUGCCCAGGUCGUCACGCAGCUUGGAGCUCACGGAUGCAGGGGACAGGUGUGCGGGAUGUGCGGAGGGGAAACUAAGGAAUGCUUUGGGAGAGCUGCAAGAAUUUAGUAAAACAAGACCCUCUGGGAGGCUCAGUGUUGAAGACCCAGCGCGGCUCUCUCUAGCAGAGCUGGAGUUCGUCGAGAUCACCGUCAUCGUGGUGGUGGUGAUGGUGAUGGUGGUGGUGAUCACGUAA
rnacentral:lncRNA from 1 species